UUUUUUUUAAGUGGGCUUUAGAAUUUUUGAAAGAUUUUUGAAUUUUGGCUUUCAAUUAAUCUGCAGUCCUACGGGCAUUAAUUAUAAAUAUAAAAUGAAUGUACAUUUAAUAGAUAGGUCAGGACACAGUUUGAACAUUUUAACCAUGAGGUUUUUAGAUUGCUGCAGUCUAGACCUGAUUAGAGAUUAAAAAAAAAAAAAAAAGAAACAUGGAAACAUGCACAAAUAAGAUUAAAUGACUAAAUCCCAUCAUGGUGGUAGAUUAACUGCCCCAGGUGUUCCUUAUGAUGUGCCAUGAUGCUUAAUGAGUUCCUUAAUGAUUUGAAAAGGGGAAGGGAUAGUAUGGCAACAAAAUUUGUUAGGACACUAGGCUAUAUAGGUGUACAAGAACCUGAUGUGACUGUAGAGAAUGUUAAGGAAACUUAUAUAAGCUACUUCCUUGAGCAGCUCCAACCUGUCAGAAAGUGUGAAAAUGUCUUCUGCUCACAUCUGAGAAAAAGAUGCACAGCUGAAUCAAGGAAUGGCUGCGAAAGAGGCCUAGAUUUGCAAAUGUACUCAGGCAUCUCCCACCACUGAUACUGUUAAACUGGACUGAAAGCCUGGAUCCCACAGAUCUGAACUUGCAACGUGGGAUGAAAGCAUAAUGAAGAUCAUAAAGAUCAUAGUGAAGAUCGUUAAGAUCAUAAUGAAGAGCAUAAAGAUCAGUGAAUUACUGUGAAGGCUGUUUAGUUAACUUAUGCUUUAGCACAGCUGCCUUUCUAAGACUAGAUGCUAUUUUACAUUAGCACCUGUUCCUGUACAACUACUCCAAAAGAAGAAGACUGGGUUAAAAAAAAUAAAUAGUUUUGCUGUUAAAAGGCA
rnacentral:lncRNA from 1 species